UACGUAGGGAGCGAGCGUUAUCCGGAUUUAUUGGGUGUAAAGGGUGCGUAGACGGGCAUGCAAGUUGGUUGUGAAAUCCCUCGGCUUAACUGAGGAACUGCAACCAAAACUGUGUGUCUUGAGUACAGGAGAGGUAAGUGGAAUUCCUAGUGUAGCGGUGAAAUGCGUAGAUAUUAGGAGGAACACCAGUGGCGAAGGCGACUUACUGGACUGAAACUGACGUUGAGGCACGAAAGUGUGGGGAGCAAACAGG
rnacentral:rRNA from 1 species